rnacentral:rRNA from 1 species
AGUAACGCGUGAGGAACCUGCCUCAAAGAGGGGGACAGCAGUUGGAAACGACUGCUAAUACCGCAUAAGCCCACGGCUCGGCAUCGAGCAGAGGGAAAAGGAGCAAUCCGCUUUGAGAUGGCCUCGCGUCCGAUUAGCUAGUUGGUGAGGUAACGGCCCACCAAGGCGACGAUCGGUAGCCGGACUGAGAGGUUGAACGGCCACAUUGGGACUGAGACACGGCCCAG